rnacentral:rRNA from 1 species
GCUAAACGCGAAGAACCUUACCAAGGCUUGACAUGGAUUUCUAAGCACGUGAAAGCGUGUGACCCUUCGGGGGACUUCCACAGGUGCUGCAUGGCCGUCGUCAGCUCGUGUCGUGAGAUGUUGGGUUAAGUCCCGCAACGAGCGCAACCCUUGUGAACAGUUGCCAGCGCGUCAUGGCGGGAACUCUGUUCAGACUGCCCAGAUCAACUGGGAGGAAGGUGGGGACGACGUCAGGUCAGUAUGGCCCUUACGCCUUGGGCUGCACACGUACUACAAUGCCCAGCACAAUGAGAACCGAUGCCGCGAGGUGGAGGAAAUCUGCAAAACUGGGCUCAGUUCGGAUUGGAGGCUGCAACUCGCCUCCAUGAAGUUGGAAUCGCUAGUAAUGGGGCAUCAUCUACGGCCCCGUGAAUACGUUCCCGGGUCUUGUACACACCG